GAAGGGACCUAGCGUAGUUCGGAAUUACUGGGCUUAAAGAGCUCGUAGGUGGUUAGAAAAGUUGGUGGUGAAAUCCCAAGGCUUAACCUUGGAACUGCCAUCAAAACUUUUUGACUAGAGUAUGAUAGAGGAAAGUGGAAUUUCUAGUGUAGAGGUGAAAUUCGUAGAUAUUAGAAAGAACACCGAAUGCGAAGGCAACUUUCUGGAUCAUUACUGACACUGAGGAGCGAAAGCAUGGGUAGCGAAGAGGAUUAGAUACCCUCGUAGUCCAUGCCGUAAACGAUGUGUGCUAGACGUUGGGAAUUUAUUUCUCAGUGUCGCAGCGAAAGCGUUAAGCACACCGCCUGGGGAGUACGACCGCAAGGUUAAAACUCAAAUGAAUUGACGGGGACCCGCACAAGUAGUGGAGCAUGUGGUUUAAUUCGAAGAUACGCGCAGAACCUUACCAACACUUGACAUGUUCGUCGCGACUCUAAGAGAUUAGAGUCUUCGGUUCGGCCGGACGAAACACAGGUGCUGCAUGGCUGUCGUCAGCUCGUGUCGUGAGAUGUUGGGUUAAGUCCCGCAACGAGCGCAACCCUUACUUUUAGUUGCCACCAUUUAGUUGAGCACUCUAAAAGAACUGCCAGUGAUAAGCUGGAGGAAGGUGGGGAUGACGUCAAGUCCUCAUGGCCCUUACGUGUUGGGCUACACACGUGCUACAAUGGUACCUACAAUGAGAUGCGAAGAGGCGACUCUAAGCCAAUCCCAAAAAGGUACCUCAGUUCGGAUUGCACUCUGCAACUCGAGUGCAUGAAGCUGGAAUUACUAGUAAUCGUGGAUCAGCGCGCCACGGUGAAUACGUUCCCGGGUCUU
rnacentral:rRNA from 1 species